UGCAGGCCAAGAAACUCUCCACCUCCCUUCCAUCAAGGGGGAAGACUCGUAGCCAGCUCAUGUUCCUGUUUUAUAUGGGGCCUUUGCUUCCUUUUGGUCAUGGCCAGACACAGAAAACAGGGCAAGGGCCUGUUCCUCGGGCCGGCUUUGACCAAACAACAAAUAGCUUUUUUAAAAACCUCUAUUUCAAAAAACUCUACUUUCGAAAGCUCUACUUUCAACAGCUCUGCCAAACGGGGCCUAAGUAUGAGGCUUCAGGAAGAGGCAGUGGAAGGGCCGGUGGCUUUAUUCUCAUAGAAGCUGCCUCCUUCUGCUCCUCUACCAAGCCAGUGGUUCUGAAUCCUCCCCAUUCUCUCUGUGUGUUUUGAAGAGGUGGUGAUGGGAAACUAAGAUCUUUGUGUGAUAUGAUAUAGAACUUGUUUUUUCUUGCUACGAUGGUUCAAAUCCUAGGUAUCAUUUAGUUUUUAUAAAAAAAUCCGAAUAUUAAACCCAGUUUCGGUCACUCGGAUUUACCUUCCUUCACUCCCAUCCACCAUUGGAUCACCCAUGGCACAGAUUUUAAAGCGCUUCGAACUCCUCCAUUCAUCGGCCUGCAUAGAUCUCAAAGCGAGCAAUCGAGGAUCCAACAAUGGACUCGCAUGACGGAAGAUGAAUCCUUCUUUUGCGUGAAAGAUACAACCUCAAUCCUGAGGCUUCAGGAAGAGGCAAUGGAAGGGCUGGUGGCUUUAUUCUCGCCAAAGCUGCCCCCUUCUGCUCCUCUCCCAAGCUGAUGAUUCUUAAUCCUCUGCAUUCUCUCUCUCUCUCUCUCUCUCUCUCUCUCUCGCUCGCUCGCUCUCUCUGUGCGCGUGUCUUUUGAAGAGGCUGUGAUGAGUAAUACAAGAUCUGUGUGAUAUUUGCUACAGUGUUUUGGCCAUGUAGCUUUACUUUUUCUUGGCAAUGGUGGCUGGGCAGCUAGGAAGGUCUGAUGUUCUGCAGGCAACCGCUGCCGCCACCAGCUGUAGAGAAGAGUGCAGAGAUGAGGAAGAAAGUGGGAUCUUCUUCUCUCUCUGUGCCAUAAUAAUGGAUCAAAAGCAACUCUGAGCCUCACUCCCUUCUCUUUCUUUAUUUAAGAUAUGUUGCUGUUCUUUUGCUCAUUUUUCUUCCCAUUCUAUUUAAUUUUCUAUAAAAUUUUUAAUCUCUUAUAUUUGUGGCUCAGGUGAUAGGCAACUGCUGGAUCAUAUGCUGAUUAUUCCUGCAGCCUUUGCUACGUGCCUGUAUGAGUCAUUUCUCUUUUUCAUCUUAGUGAUGAGAUACCUGCAGACCAGGCAAGGUUGUUCAAGACAUACUGACCAAGGUUUGCUGUGCAGUUACCAUGAUGAGGUCUUCCUCCAUGGUCCAUCGGCCUUUGCUCUGCUUAGCCUCUCGUUUCCCGUUUAUCCUUUUGUUCAUGGUGUUAGUUUCUUCCCCCAUGGUAGAGAAUUCUGGUCCAUCUAUUUAGAGCAUGCUUUAUGCUUCUUUUAAAAGUACUUUGCAACUUCUAAUGCAAAACAGUGCUUCCCAGAAAAAAUAAGUUUGGUGACAAUAUCUGAAAAGUGUUUUUAAAAGUAGAAGCAACAGAAAACAUGCCUCCCCCCUUCUCUCUCUCUCUCUCUCUCUCUCUCUCUCCCAUAUUUAGUUCAGUGUUCCCUUCAAUUCCAUUCACCUUCCUUCGCUCCCAUCCACCAUUGGAUCACCCAUGGCACAGAUUUUAAAGUGCUUCGAACUCCUCCAUUCAUCGGACUGCAUAGAUCUCAAAGUGAGCAAUUGAUGAUCCAACAAUGGACUCGCAUGAAGGAAGAUGAAUUCUUCUUUUGCGUGAAAGAUACAAGCUCAAUCCUGAGGCUUCAGGAAGAGGCAAUGAAAGGGCUAGUGGCUUUAUUAUCGCCGAAGCUGCCCCCUUCUGCUCCUCUCCCAAGCUGAUGAUUCUUAAUCCUCUGCAUUCUCUGUGUGUGCGUGUGUGUGUGUGUGUGCGCGUCUUUUGAAGAGGCUGUGAUGAGUAAUCAAGUUCUUUGUGUGAUAUGGUGUAGAGCUCAUUCUGUCUUGCUACAAUGUUUUGGCCUUGUAGCAUUACUCUUUCUUGGCAAUGGUGGCUGGGCAGCUAGGAAGGUCUGAUGUUCUGCAGGCAACCGCUGCUGCCACCUGCUGUAGAGAGGAGUGCAGAGAUGAGGAAGAAAGUGGGAUCUUCUUCUCCCUCUGUGCUGUAAUAAUGGAUCAAAAGCAACUCUGAGCCUCACUCCCUUCUCUUUCUUUAUUUAAGAUAUGUUGCUGUUCUUUUGCUCAUUUUUCUUCCCAUUCUAUUUAAUUUUCUACAAAAUUUUUAAUCUCUUAUAUUUGCGGCUCAGGUGAUAGGCAACUGCUGGAUCAUAUGCUGAUUAUUCCUGCAGCCUUUACUACGUGCCUGUACGGGUCAUUUCUCUUUUUCAUCUUAGUGAUGAGAUACCUGCAGACCAGGCAAGGUUGUUCCAGACAUACUGACCAAGGUUUGCUGUGCAGUUACCAUGAUGAGGUCUUCCUCCAUGGUCCAUCGGCCUUUGCUCUGCUUAGCCUCUCGUUUCCUGUUUAUCCUUUUGUUCAUGGUGUUACUUUCUUCCCCCAUGGUAGAGAAUUCUGAUCCAUUUAAUUAGAGUGAGCUCUAAUUCUUUAUGUUUCUUUUAAAAGUACUUUGCAACUUCUAAUGCAAAACAGUGCUUCCCAGAAAAAAUAAGUUUGGUGACAAUAUCUGAAAAGUGUUUUUAAAAGUAGAAGCAACAGAAAACAUGCCUCCCCCCCUGCUCGUGUGCUCGCCCACUCCUUUCUUUUCCGAUCUUUCUAAUUCUCUUUUCUGUUUUUAGAGGCUGUGAUGAGUUGUGCUUGUAUCUCAUGCUUCAGAUGCUGAAAUUCUGUGCUGCUGCUGGACAAUCUUAUUCCAAGUAUUAUAAUGAUAUAACUGGCAGUAGUUAAGACAUGCUCUCUCUAUCUCUCUCUAUCUCUCUCACGCACACAUUUAAUCUUUCUCCUCAUCUACCAUUGAGGCAGAGGUGAAGUGAUGGGAUUCCAGCCAUCUUUCAAGUACUUUAUCUUUUAAAUUCGUCAUGCAUCUCAAAUGUUUACUAGUUUGCCUUAUUUGAACAGGUUUAGCCAACUUGGAUGGCCUGCUAUUGUGCAGUCAACUGUUUCUGCCUGCAAGCAACGUCGUCCAAUGUCUGAUAAAUGUGCAGGACUGAGCCUCCCAUUUUUUUAAAAACUUUAUUGUUGUUGUUCCCUUUUUUUUUGAAAAAGAAAGUACUAUUAACCUGUAUAAAAAAGGGGAAGAGAUAAUGUAACACACAUAAAGGUUAUGAUGAAGGAUAUGAAUUAACCUGGAAUAGCAUCAGGGAUAGCCGUAAAUAGGAAUAAGUGGUGAAUGAAGAUUCAUAAAACUGACCCCAAAUGGAUGGGAAAAGGACAGAUGGUUAUGGUAAGUACUAUCAACCUUUUCUUUUCCUCUUAAUACUCCAUCGAUUUUAUUCAACCAGGCCUUUUCUUCAAGGAGUUGCACUGUUGCUAUUCUUUUCCCCACUUUCAUAUAUUCCGUACAUGUUGAUAGAUCGUAAGAUUGUGAUACUUGACGGAUGUUAAGAUUAGCCUGCUUUAUGCGGGUAACUGCAAGGUACAAAAGUUUAUUGAAGGAGAAUGUUUAUUGAAGGAGCUUAACUAAGUAGACAUGAUUAUGGUAAUGAAUUCUGAAUCUCAGCUUUAAACAGUUCUAUAUCACAUUCCUGCAGGCAUUCUUCUCUAGCUUACUAGCCCUUUUCGUGGCUAACAACCAACCAAAGGCUGCUUAUGAACCAUUCAUCAAUUGACAGCCAUAGUCCUUAUAGAGGUCAUUGUUUGCUUAUCUUGCUCCUAUCAUUUACGCUUCAGUCAAUGAAACUUAGAUGUGCCUGAGUUCAAAAAGAGAAAGGAAAACUUUUAUGUGCCUGUUCAAAGGAUAGGUGACUGAAACCCUAUGGGUUUUCAUUGUUAGGGUUUAAUUUCGUGGAUUUGUUAUGUGUCAUGAUAAAAUAGCCAACAGAGCUGUUUGUUCUCCAUGCAACUGUUGCAUCCUUUUAAAAUAUUCCGCACGAUGUCUGAAAGUUGGGCAGAGCUGAAUGAACUUGGAUACAGAUAUUAGACAGAUGCUAAAAUUUGUGUCCGCUCCACAUUACUUCUAAAAAGUUAUGGAUAUUAAUCGGAUGUGACUCCAUAUACAAGUCAGAUUUGUGAGAAAAAAAUAUUUUUUAAGGAAAAGAUAAUGGAUAAUUCUAAAUAAUAUAAUUUAAACAUAUUAAUGGUUUUAAAGAGAUACGAGAAUGACAAGUAGCUAACAUGAAGAAUUUAUGUAAUUAAAAAUUAUAUAAUUUAUAACUCUCUUCUUGGUCACCAAAAAUAUAUGAUCAUCUAUGUCACUGUUAAGCAAGCCGCGACACUUAAUUUAAGGUAGCAUUUAGCAUGAUUGCUGGUUUUCUUUUUUUGUUUUUUCUAAAUAAAUCUGAAACCAGUUUCUCUCUCUCUGUUUUUUUUUUUAAACCGAAAACUUGAAACUUGUUCAGUGGCAAAUAUGGCGAUGGUGGUGGAGAAGAAGGUGAUGGUGGCCGACAGCAGGCAGCGGUGGUCGGUGGCAGCAAUGGUUGGGGACAGCAAAGACGGCCAGCAGUGGGGGUGGCCAGCAAUGGCUGAUAGCCGGUGGCCAUUGGUGGUGGACGGUGGUCAGUGAUGGCAACCGGCAGUAAUUGGUGGCUAGCAAUGUUUGGCAAUGGGUGGAGGUGCCGGCAUGCGGUAGCGGUAGUGGCGGAUGGUGGGCGAUUGGGGAGAUGGCAAGCCAUUGCUAGUUUUCAGAAAAGUCAGCCUCAUUUUCUGGUUCUACAAUUUUCAGAAACUGGUUGUCAGUUUCAAAAAAUGGAAAAUGGAAAACGGAUUAUUAAACACAUGUUCUGCCUGGCAACCAUGUCAAGAAGUGCCUAGAUAAAAGAAAAUCUUCAUUUUUAUUUAAGCUAAAGUUGAGCAUUUGGAUAUUUGAAUUAAAAAAUAUCUUUCCUUAUCAGUUUGACGUUUCGGAGUUCUGAUAGUGGUGUUUGCUUGAUCCCUUCCUCUUGUUCCAUGGUUCCUGCAUUAAGGAGUAUCACAAUUUUUCAAAUUCUCUUCAGCAUUUUUUUUUCCUUUUAGUCUUUUCAGAAUGAGCGAGCCGCUGACUGAUAAAAGAUGGAACCCUCUUUUUCAUUCUGCUAGUGCUACUAUGAUUACUGUUGCUUGGACAAUUUCUGCUGGUCGCAUUCUUUAUGGGUAAACCACCUGCUAGUUCUGUCACAGCUACUGCCUCCUCUUGUAUGUUUGGUCUUAUGUAACUAAACAACCUACUCCUGUUGCAGCAACUGCUUCCUCUUGUAGGAUUGGUCUUAUGUAACUUACCUCAUGGUCCUGUCUCAGCAUCUGCCUUCUCUUGUAUUCUUGGUCUUAUGUAACUAAAGCACCUCCUAGUCCUGUUGCAACAACUGCCUCCUCUCUCUGUUUUUGUUGCUGUGAGUGGAGUGAUUUGUGAAACCAGCUUCACUAGCUUAGGCAUUUUUAGGCCAUUCAUUAAAACUGAACUGAUAAUGGCUGUUUAAGAGAUUUUUUGGCAUCUUUUUCCUACAGAAGCAAAAGAGGUUGUACCAUGGGCGGUAAUGUACCAUGGGCAGUGGUAAUUUGCUGGUUACUAUAUUGUAUGGUAUUGGACGAGAGGAGGUGUGCUAAAGCAAGGGCAUUUUGCCGUCUCGGAACUUAUGGUACAUGCUUGCAGUUGUGCUUGUAUAUUUCCAUGGGGUGUGCAGUAGAAUAUUCAUAAAACUGGAUGUGCUAAAGUACUUGCUUCUCUAUUCGAUGCAAGUAAUGACGACGAAAGCUUGGAUGAUCUGGUGAUCUUCUGUUAAAUAGCUGCAGCCAUCAGGUCGGAAGAUGAUGAAGCGAAAGUCCUCUGUAGGCAGCCUGCUACUCACCUAAUAAAACAGGAUUCAGCUUACCCUUCAACGUACUGUAAUAUGAUGAAGUGGAAAUCUCCGUGCUGCUUUUCCACUGAAAUGUGCUAUUGGUUGCUUCUAAACAGAGUUAUCAACUAGAAGUUCAUACCAUAAGCUAUCGAUUAAUUAGAAGUUGAUGGCAGGGAUUGGAAUUCUGCAGGCAAAACGGUCCCCCAAUAUGUAAUUGAUCUUUGGAAGAGGAGUCGUGGCCCUACAGGAGUUUGAUCCGUUACCCUCUAUUUGUAACUUUAAUUAUUUAAAAUGUAUGGUAUACUGUUGUUGAGCAAUAUAAACCGGAUAGUGAAUGAACCUCAUGUAUUAAAUUUCAUUGUUUGAAGAUAACACUUUUAUUGAGAAGACUAUUUCUAUUGCCCAA